rnacentral:misc_RNA from 1 species
GGCCCACCAUUUUGAUCGAGUGCGGAGCAUUCGUCUUCUGGUACGGGGCCAUAGCUCAGCUGGGAGAGCGCGUGCUUUGCAAGCAUGAGGUCGUCGGUUCGAUCCCGUCUGGCUCCACCAGAUGGAAUUGAAGCUCGAUAGCGCCUCGUUCAUUUCGUCCGCGAAACAUCACUUCGCACUCAUUGGUCCGGAUGGACGGUGACGUGCGUGUUUUCUGACAUCGUAAAGAGGAGAUCGAUCCGAGUUUGGAUCAAGCGAAGCAAUUCGCCUGAGCCAUUCAUUAUCUCCGGGAUCAUUUCGGCGCUCGCUUCAAUCGUGAGAUUGGAUGCGGGUUGUAAAUGAUCCCUUUUAGCGAAGCUUGACCGCCUCGCUAUCGGGCCGAUCUUACGAAGCAAGCUGGUCUUUCUAGUCAAUGUCCGGCUGCGCAAUCGCAUUCAUCGAGGAUGCGUGCCUGAGACUUCGGUCUUCGGGCAGUUGUGCAGACAACAUUCUGCCGAGUGUGUGGACAUUGAUAAUGAGAGCAAUCAAGUGCCUUAAGGGUGUUCGGUGGAUGCCUUGGCGCUGAGAGGCGAUGAAGGACGUGCUACGCUGCGAUAAG